AAGGAGCCUAGUGGAAUCUACCCUCUGAUAUAUUAGCUUCCUUCAGACCAAAUCUACAAGGGGUUAUACCUUCGCAAAGAACGAAAAGGAAAUCGGGGUUGCUGUGCUGUUGUGCUGGAAGCUUUUACCUUUUAUUCUUCUUCCUGAGUGUUCAGUUGAACCUUAGGGGGAAGCUCAUCUGGGGAGGUGCUGUCGGUGCUAUUGGCUUAUGCUGGAGACAGCCCCAGGUGACACCUGCUGGGGACAGCCCUGGGUGAUAGCUGCUAGUGUGGCUCUGGCUUUCCUGCUGUGCCUCUUUUCUGGUUCGUGUCCCAGGCCAGUCUCAGACUCUGCAACAGGACCGCGACUCCAGGGCCGGGUUUAGACCUAGGAUAUGAGGCAGGUGACAAGAGUGACUGUGCUCUUGCUCUUGGGUACUUUGAGCCUCGCUAAGACCACCCAGCCCGUAUUCAUCGAGUCCUACGAAGGACAAGAAGUGAACAUACCCUGUAACCACACCAAGAUCGCUACAAAUGAGUAUAUCCACUGGUACCGACAGUUCCCCAACCAGGGACCACACUUUGUUAUUGAAGGAUAUAAGACAAACGUGGAAAAUGAAGUGGCAUCCCUGUUCAUCUCUGCGGACAGGACGUCCAGCACCCUGAGCCUGCCCCGGGCUGCCCUGAGAGACACUGCUGUGUAUUACUGCACCGUGAGUGACUCACACCUGAAUCCUCUCCCCCAACACAUUGACACCCCUGAGAAACCUUACACACGCAGCCAAGGCGGGGCCAUCAUUGCUGGAGUUUCCUGUAAAGAAGCAAAAUGAGAAGCUGAAGCGCGAGUGUGAUUGGUGCUCAGUGAUUCUGGAGGGACGUGGUGACUGUUGACAACACAACUUCUCUGGACCCAAGACUCUACGCUCUUCAGAGUAGGGGUG